rnacentral:rRNA from 1 species
UACGUAGGGUGCGAGCGUUGUCCGGAAUUAUUGGGCGUAAAGGGCUCGUAGGCGGUUUGUCGCGUCGGGAGUGAAAUCCACUGGCUUAACUGGUGGCUUGCUUUCGAUACGGGCAGACUGGAGGUAUGCAGGGGAGAACGGAAUUCCUGGUGUAGCGGUGAAAUGCGCAGAUAUCAGGAGGAACACCGGUGGCGAAGGCGGCCUUCUGGACGGUGACUGACGCUGAGGCGCGAAAGCGUGGGGAGCAAACGGG